CCUACGGGUGGCAGCAGUAGGGAAUAUUGCACAAUGGGGGAAACCCUGAUGCAGCGACGCCGCGUGAGUGAAGAAGUAUUUAGGUUUGUAAAGCCCUAUUGUCAGAGAAGAACGUGACGGUACCUGACUAAUCAGCCACUGCUAACUACGUGCCAGCAGCCGCGGUAAUACGGAGGGGGCACGCGUUACUCGGAAUGACUGGGGGUAAAGAGUGCGUAGGCGGGUGUGUAAGGCAGAUGUGAAAGCCUGUGGCUUAACAGCAGGACUGCAGUUGAAACUGGGCGACUGGAGUGCAGGAGAGGAAAGUGGAAUUCUUGGGGUAGCGGUGGAAUGCGUAGAUAUCAGGAGGAAGACUAGUGGCGAAGGCGGCUUACUGGACUGCAACUGACGCUGAGGCACGAAAGCGUGGGGAGCGAACAGGAUUAGAUACCCUAGUAGUC
rnacentral:rRNA from 1 species